UGGAGUUUUCAGCAGAGGAAUUAUGUCCUAAAAUCAUUCUGGUUGUAGCUGGGAAGUAUUCAGAAGAGAAGAAUCUGGACAUGGAGAAAACUGAUAAGAGAGAAUAUACAGAUAAAGCUUUCUUUACAGGUUUGGCACAACAUCUUUCUUGCUUGUGGUUUUGUAAGAGACCAAGGGCGAGCUCUCUUUCAUGGGAGCCUAGACCUCCAUGCCAUAUUACCCACGGAAGUGAAAAUUCCCAGUUUUCAGCGGACACAACAUCUGUUUGUAUGUGGUGCUGAGGAUCGAACCCGGGC